AGACUGUGCUUGGCACUCUUGGGGAAUCGUGGGGCAGCUGCUCCAAGGAGGAGAGCUGCAAAGGGAGGUCUUGGCACCCUCCCUGGCAAGAGGAGCGGGCUGGAGCAACUAUGGAGGGAUCUCCCUGGAAUUGGAUCAUCUGAGAAGCUCUGCUAUAGAAUGCGUCAUCCUGCCCAGCACACAGGAGGCUCUCAGGCUAUGUUUGUUGAAUAAAUGAACAAUGGAAAGUCA